AGCAGUCGCCACGGGAAUACGUAGGUGGCAAGCGUUGUCCGGAAUUAUUGGGCGUAAAGCGCGCGCAGGUGGUUUAAUAAGUCUGAUGUGAAAGCCCACGGCUCAACCGUGGAGGGUCAUUGGAAACUGUUAAACUUGAGUGCAGGAGAGAAAAGUGGAAUUCCUAGUGUAGCGGUGAAAUGCGUAGAGAUUAGGAGGAACACCAGUGGCGAAGGCGGCUUUUUGGCCUGUAACUGACACUGAGGCGCGAAAGCGUGGGGAGCAAACAGGAUUAGAUACCCCAGUAGUCCCUGUCUCUUAUAC
rnacentral:rRNA from 1 species